UGGCGAUGAUUAAUUAUUUAUCCGCGCUUCUGAGAGUAAUCGAUGAAGCAGAAAAAUAAAUAUGGUUGAAUUUCUUGAUAUGAGCCA
rfam:Jatropha curcas cultivar GZQX0401 scaffold905_18, whole genome shotgun sequence.